rnacentral:rRNA from 1 species
AUUGAACGCUGGCGGCGUGCCUAACACAUGCAAGUCGAACGAGUGGCGGACGGGUGAGUAAUGUCUGGGAAACUGCCCGAAGGAGGGGGAUAACUACUGGAAACGGUAGCUAAUACCGCAUACCAUCAGAUGUGCCCAGAUGGGAUUAGCGAGUUGGUGGGGUAACGGCUCAACAAGGCGACGCUCCCUAGCUGGUCUGAGAGGAUGACCAGCCACACUGGAACUGAGACACGGUCCAGACUCCUACGGGAGGCAGCAGUGGGGAAUAUUGCACAAUGGGCGAAAGCCUUAUGCAGCCAUGCGGCGUGGAUGAAGAAGGCCUUCGGGUUGUAAAGUACUUUCAGCGAGGAGGCGUUACUCGCAGAAGAAGCAGCGGCUAACUCCGGGCCAGCAGCCGCGGUAAUAC